CAGCAGCCACGGUAAUACGGAGGGUGCAAGCGUUAAUCGGAAUUACUGGGCGUAAAGCGCACGCAGGCGGUCUGUCAAGUCGGAUGUGAAAUCCCCGGGCUCAACCUGGGAACUGCAUUCGAAACUGGCAGGCUAGAGUCUUGUAGAGGGGGGUAGAAUUCCAGGUGUAGCGGUGAAAUGCGUAGAGAUCUGGAGGAAUACCGGUGGCGAAGGCGGCCCCCUGGACAAAGACUGACGCUCAGGUGCGAAAGCGUGGGGAGCAAACAGGAUUAGAUACCCCGGUAGUCCCUGUCUCUUAUAA
rnacentral:rRNA from 1 species